UGGGGAAUUUUGCACAAUGGGGGAAACCCUGAUGCAGCGACGCCGCGUGAUUUAGAAGGCCUUCGGGUUGUAAAAAUCUUUUUUAUGGGAUGAAAAUGACAGUACCAUACGAAUAAGGACCGGCUAAUUACGUGCCAGCAGCCGCGGUAAUACGUAAGGUCCGAGCGUUGUCCGGAAUCAUUGGGCGUAAAGGGUACGUAGGCGGAUAAGCAAGUUAGAAGUGAAAUCCUAUAGCUCAACUAUAGUAAGCUUUUAAAACUGCUCAUCUUGAGGUAUGGAAGGGAAAGUGGAAUUCCUAGUGUAGCGGUGAAAUGCGCAGAUAUUAGGAGGAAUACCGGUGGCGAAGGCGACUUUCUGGCCAUAUACUGACGCUGAGGUACGAAAGCGUGGGUAGCAAACAGG
rnacentral:rRNA from 1 species